GACGAACGCUGGCGGCGUGCUUAACACAUGCAAGUCGAACGGAAAGGCCCUGCUUUUGUUGGGUGCUCGAGUGGGGAACGGGUGAGUAACACGUGUGUAACCUGCCCUUGACUUUGGGAUAACUUCAGGAAACUGGGGCUAAUACCGGAUAGGAGCUCCUGCUGCAUGGGGGGGGUUGGAAAGUUUCGGCGGUUGGGGAUGGACUCGCGGCUUAUCAGCUUGUUGGUGGGGUAGUGGCUUACCAAGGCUUUGACGGGUAGCCGGCCUGAGAGGGUGACCGGCCACAUUGGGACUGAGAUACGGCCCAGACUCCUACGGGAGGCAGCAGUGGGGAAUAUUGCACAAUGGGCGGAAGCCUGAUGCAGCAACGCCGCGUGCGGGAUGACGGCCUUCGGGUUGUAAACCGCUUUCGCCUGUGACGAAGCGUGAGUGACGGUAAUGGGUAAAGAAGCACCGGCUAACUACGU
rnacentral:rRNA from 1 species